CUAGUUUACCCCCCAUCAGUUUACCUAUUAAUGGGGAUUUCUCAACGGAAAAGGCAUCACACAUCACAUCAAACAGGAAAUUUUGUUUUUCAGCAAUGACUGAGCAGCAGCCGACUCACCCAUUGACAAUUCAUAGGGGACUAUGUCAGUGGGAAGGAUCACUGGUGACAAACCAAACCAUGUGCUGCUGUGGGAGUCUCACCCGCAACAUGGACCUCAUUCAAUCGCCAUUCAGCUUUACCAUCAAAUGGUUUUCACACCCAAUUGCUCUUCUUUGUUCCUGGCACGGAUAUGAGCCCUUAGCCCCUAUUCAAACUAAGUACAUUGUCAGGGCUUUAUGAAAAGAACAAGCCACAAACCUGCUGGAGGUUCAGAACUGCGCAUCAACAAAGCAUGGUCCUUAUCCUUCUGCUUUGCCAUCCAUCCCAGAAGUCAGCACCCAGAUUUGUGGUAGAACUUAAUGAUUUCUACAUAACGUUUACUUUAAAAAAUUCACAAGUU